GACGAACGCUGGCGGCGUGCCUAAUACAUGCAAGUCGAGCGAAGUUUUUCUGGUGCUUGCACUAGAAAAACUUAGCGGCGAACGGGUGAGUAACACGUAAAGAACCUGCCUCAUAGACUGGGACAACUAUUGGAAACGAUAGCUAAUACCGGAUAACAGUAUUUCUCGCAUGAGAGAUAUUUAAAAGUUGGUUAUGCUAACACUAUGAGAUGGCUUUGCGGUGCAUUAGCUAGUUGGUGGGGUAAAGGCCCACCAAGGCGACGAUGCAUAGCCGACCUGAGAGGGUGAUCGGCCACACUGGGACUGAGACACGGCCCAGACUCCUACGGGAGGCAGCAGUAGGGAAUCUGCCGCAAUGGGCGAAAGCCUGACGGAGCAACGCCGCGUGAGUGAAGAAGGAUUUCGGUUCGUAAAGCUCUGUUGUUAGGGAAGAAUGGAUAUGUAGUAACUAUACAUGUAAGAGACGGUACCUAACCAGAAAGCCACGGCUAACUACGUG
rnacentral:rRNA from 1 species